UAACAAAAAUGGGAAUCAGUUGGGAUCGCAGUUUGCAACUGGACUGCGUGAAGCUGGAAUCGAUAGUAAUCGCGGAUCAGCAUGCCGCGGUGAAUAAGUUCCCGGGCCUUGUACACACCGCCCGUCACCCCCCGAGAGUUUGUAACACCCGAAGUCGGUGAGGUAACCUUUUAGGAGCCAGCCGCCGAAGGUGGGACAGAUGAUUGGGGUGAAGUCGUAACAAGGUAGCCGUAUCGGAAAAGG
rnacentral:rRNA from 1 species